ACGGCCGGGCUUCGGCGCGUGCGGCGGGGGCCGGCUUCGCUUUUGUUUCGCUGAUUUUAAGUUGAACACUUGGGACUACAUUGUGUCCGAGUCCGCGGCUUGAUUUCACUUUGCCUGCGGAAAAGUUGCGCUUCGGCUGUCAAUGGUAAUUCUGAAGUUCCCGGAUGGAGCAUCGCGAGCGUCCCCCGCACCCCCACCCGGUCGGGCAUGCGCAGUGCGCAGCAGAGAGGGGAGGUUGAAGUAAGACCGGACCCCCGAGCGUCAUCAGCUGACGGUCUGCUGCUGGUUCCGGGUUCCUAAGGCCCGUUUCCCGCUCUGCUGGACCUGGAGGGCUUUCGUCUCCAUCCGUCUUUGUUCAUGUGCUCGUAACAUUUGGGAUGUUCUUCUGUCCUCACAGCAUCCAGUGGACCUGGUCUUGGUGAAUCCGUGAAGGCCUGAUGACAGAAACGGUCUCUGAGGACGACCGGGCCGGGCCGGGUCAGGCCACCUGUCCCUGCAGGCAGAACCAGCGAGCCCGGCUUGAUGCUGCAGGCGGCCCGCCGCCACGUCCUGACUGGUGGACGCUCACGCCGCCACGGGAGGUCUUCAGGUUCAGAGAAAAGAGUUCUGGUUCCAUCUGCAGGUUAUCUCCUGAAAAAGCUCUUCAUGAAAUAAAUCAGUCAUUUUGAAAAACAGCAACAUGAAAUAAAAACAAAGCUACUUUGGAAAAUAUUGAUUUUGAAAUCCAAGGUUCUGAAAAAAGACGUAGACUUAUGAUAAUAUUCCACAUGAAUAAAAUGAAUAUUUGAAAAUGCUGUUUUAAAAUAAUGAACAGGUUUUUAAAGCAAAAUGAAAUGUAUUGAAUAAUAUAAUGGCUAAUUUAAAAUGUGUGUGCAUGUUUUUCACCAUUUCAUGAUCUUUUUAUAUAUUUAUGAGAGAUUUAUUGGUUGUUUAUUUGCAUGAGGCCAUAUUUAUUUAUUUAAUUAAAUAUUUAUUUAUUGAAUUAAAUAUUUAUUUAUUUAAUUAUGAACAGUAUAGGACUCCAUAGUACUUACGGUCUGGUCUUCACUUACAAAUAUGAUACUGGUUUUUUUAACAGGAACUUUAUUGAUCACAACAAUCCAAUACAAAACAGUGCAAUACAAUAACAGGAGAAGAGGCCGCCGGUUUAAGGAUUCCAGGUCACACAAAGACAUUGAAAGUGACGCACAGAUCGAGUGUUUGAACCGUUUCCUAUCUUAUUGUGUUUCUGAGUUGUUUGAACUCAUUGACAAAGACAGAAAUGAUGGUAUUAUACAUACAUUUGGAUUCAUGAAUGUGCCAUUUGCAUUAAAAAUAAGAUUAAUGAAG